rnacentral:tRNA from 1 species
AGGGGUGUAGCUCAGUUGGUAGAGCAGCGGUCUCCAAAACCGCGUGUCGUGGGUUCGAAUCCUGUCACCCCUGCCA